rnacentral:rRNA from 1 species
AUUGAACGCUGGCGGCAGGCCUAACACAUGCAAGUCGAACGAGUGGCGGACGGGUGAGUAAUGUCUGGGAAACUGCCUGAUGGAGGGGGAUAACUACGGAAAAGGGUCGCUAAUCCCGAAAACCUUCAGAUGUCCCCAGAUGGGAUUAGCUAGUUGGUGGGGUAACGGUUCCACAAGGCGACGACCCCUCGCUGGUCUGAGAGGAUGACCAGCCACACUGGAACUGAGACACGGUCCAGACUCCUACGGGAGGCAGCAGUGGGGAAUAUUGCACAAUGGGCGCAAGCCUGAUGCAGCCAUGCCGCGUGUAUGAAGAAGGCCUUCGGGUUGUAAAGUACUUUCAGCGGGGAGGCGUUACCCGCAGAAGAAGCACCGGCUAACUCCGUGCCAGCAGCCGCGGUAAUUC